AUGGAGCCCACCCCUGAGCCAGAGAUACACAGGAACACUCUUGGAUGCAGGACGCUCACAGUCCCCUCCUGGACACACAGCUUCACGGACACAUGCAGCGUACUCCCUGACCCCCUCCAACACAUCUUUGGUGGGGGUUGCACAGGCAUUGGACGUCCUCGAGGACCUUGGGAGAAACAGAAGGAGAAGAUCAGAUUGUCCAGCCGGACUCAUGAAGGAUUUCUUCUGGCAGACAGAGCAGACGGAGCUGCAGUUAAGAGUUUGAGGUGGGAGAUUCUGAUUCCCUCCUCACCCCAACUUGUGUGUGACAGUGUGACAUUCCCAGGAGUAAAAGAAUGAACAUAAUGACCUCUGUGGAGCCAAGUCCACAAGGGAUUGUUUUAGAAUUAUUUAUUGGCGGGGGGGAGUGUUACCUUUUGGGGAGCUGUAAUUGGAACUUGUCAGGAUCCCAGUAAGAAACAUCUUAAUUUUUUUUUUUUUUUUUUUUUUUUGAGACGGAGUCUUGCUCUGUCGCCCAGGCUGGAGUGCAGUGGCACAAUCUCGGCUCACUGCAAGCUCCACCUUCCGGGUUUACACCAUUCUCCUGCCUCAACCUCCUGAGUAGUUGGGACUACAAGCGCCCACCACCACUCCCGGCUAAUUUUUUGUAUUUUUAGUAGAGACGGGGUUUCACCGUGUUAGCCAGGAUGGUCUCAAUCUCCUGACCUCGUGAUCUGCCUGCCUCAACCUCCCAAAGUGCUGGGAUUACAGGCAUGAGCCACCGCACCUGGCCACACCUUAAUAUUUUUAAACAAGGCUAAAUAAAUGCAUCGUCCUUUCUUCUGGAAUAUUGUCCCAGGAGGAAAUGUUGGAGCCCAGUGCUGGAGGCCAGCAAUCAAGGAUGCCCCAAGGAGACCAAGUUUUAUUUUUAGAAGGUGCUGGUGACUUUAGCUUUUCAUCCUUGCUAUUUGCAGUAGCUCAGGGCUCUCUCCAAAAUGCAAAGCAUUCCUUGUCCUGUUCUGUCUCCUCCUGUUAGAUUUCAACCCUCUCUGCUUCUAGAUGAAGCGCCCCAGCUCAAGGACUGGACCUCUCAGAAAGCUGCAGGAUAUAACAUUUUCUUUUCCUUUUGAUUUUUUUCUCUUUCUGUUGAAGAGAGACAAACAGACAAAUGUCAGCAGGCUGAAGGAUGAGAAUGGAAUUGGUGCCAGUUGGGGAGAGUCCAGGAUGCUCCCCUUUUUAAUUAAGUACGGACUUGAAUUAUGAGGGGCCACAGCGCCUGCUGGGUGGGGCUCUGCUAAGGGAAGGCAAUUUCUCUCGUUAAAUAUUAAACACCGCUUAUUCCACUUAGCCUCUCCUCAGCCUCUGAGAGUGUCUAUAUUUGCUCUUGUCGUCAGGAAUAAUGUGCAACUGAGUGGACGCCCCAGCUCGAUAAGGCAGGGACAGGGACAGCUCUGUCAGCACUGGCAGAAGCCUGGGGACUUGACUCUUACCUGAAUCCUUUUGGGAGAAUGGUGGUAAUGGGUGGUGGGGAGAAUUCCUGGUUUUAUUUCUGAGAUUUUUAAAAAAUUAUUUUUAAUUAUUAUUAUUAUUAUUUUUUUUUUUUUUUUGGCAGAGUCAGGGUCUUGCUCUGGUGCCCAGGUUGGUCUUGAACUCCUGGCCUCAAGGGAUCCUCCUGUCUUGGCCUUCCAAAGUGUUGGGAUUACAGGUGUGAGCUACCACACUGGCCUUGAUUUUUUUUUUUUUUUUUUUUUUUCUAAAAGACAGGGUCUCGCUCUGUCACUCAGGCUGGAGUGCAGUGGUGCAAUCUCAGUAGGCAGGUGCCACCACUCCCAGCUAAUUUUUGUAUUUUUUGUUUUUGUUUUUCUGAGACGGAGUCUCGCUCUAUUGCCCAAGUUUUAGUACAGUGGCGCAAUCUCGGCUAACUGCAACCUCCACUGGUUCAACCAAUUCCCUUGCCUCAGCCUCCCGUGUGGCUGGGAUUACAGGUGCACGCCACCACGCCCGGCUAAUUUUUUUGUAUUUUUAGUAGAGACGGGGUUUCACCAUGUUGGCCAGACUGAUCUUGAACUCCUGACCUCAGGCAAUCCACCCACCUCGGCCUCCCAAAGUGCUGGGAUUACAGGCGUGAGCCACCGCGCCCGGCGCGUAAAUUUUAUAUGUUUUGUAGAGUCAAAGUUUUGCAAUGUUGCCCAGGCUGGUCUCGAACUCACGAACUCAGGCAAUCAAGCCCUGAGUCACCAUGCCCAGCCUUGUUUUUGUUUUUAUCCAAAACAGAAACUCCUCUCUCACUAGUCCCUGACUGCCCCCAGGCUAUAGGGCUUUCCUGAAACUCAGGGAGCUUCUGCUGUAGAUUUAUUUCUCCUGUUGAUUCUCAUCUAUCCUACUGGCGACCCCAGCCCAGAUUUAUCUGGUAAUUUACAACCCCGGUUGUUAGUUAAUGAUCUGGAGCCACAGAGCCCAGAGCCCAGGAAAUGAUGCUCCUUCUGGGUAGGGGCGCUGCUUUCCUCUUGCUUUGUGGGGACCACGUGCCUGGGUGGAGAAGAGGAUGGCAGAAAGAAAGGAUGUUAGGGGGAUGCAGCCUGAGAGGACAUGAUACCUAACCAGAUGGGGACCAGGCAUUCUGGACCCCAACUUGAGUUUCCAAAAUACAGUGUUGGCCCGGGCGCAGUGGCUCAUGCCUGUAAUCUCAGCACUUUGGGAGGCAGAGGCAGGUGGAUCAUUUGAGGUCAGGAGUUUGAGACCAGCCUGACCAGCAUGACAAAACACUCUCUCUACUAAAAAUACAAAAUUAGCUGGGCGUAGUGGUGCAUACCUAUAAUCCCAGCUACUUGAGAGGCUGAGGCAAAAUAAUUGCUUGAACCCAGGAGGCGGAGGUUGCAGUGAGCCAAGAUCACAUCAUUGCCCUUCUGCCUGGGCAACAAGAGCAAAACUCCAUCUCAAAAAAAAUAAAAUAAAAUAAAAUAAAUACAGUGUUCGCAUGUGUGCUUUACCCUUUAUUGUUUUCCUAAGCCUUUUCAAAUAUCUUAUUACAUUUUCCCAGCGUUCCUCAAAGUAGGUAUAUUUAGUUCCAUUUUAUAGUUGAGCACUCUAAAGUCCAGAGAGCAAUUUGCCUUAUGUCACCCAGGGAGAGGGAACCAAACCACACGCUUCAGACUCCUCAGCUCCACAGAGUUCCAGAGAUAGUGACUUCUGAGGGCUGAGUAAAAACAAUAGCACGUUGUUCUUACUAGCCUGAUACACAGUUCUCUGGGCUCCUGAUCCCACCUGACCCUCCCCUUCUUGACAUUUCCUUUUUAUGUUCUUCCCCCGCCCCACCAAGCCCCACUUUCCUGUUAAGAAAUGCCUGUUAGGGUCUUGUUAAUUGUGUAUCUUACAAUGUGGUUUGGUAUUUUCUUAAAUUGCAUGUCAGACAUGAAUGUCUCCCACAAAGAGAAAACUGAUGGAGAGGGGAGCAUUUUGCUCCCUAGAAAUUGAGAAUGUAAAGUAUAUUUAAUUAAAAUGAUAAAUCUGAUUUUCAGUUUUGUUUUUAC
ensembl:lncRNA